rnacentral:lncRNA from 1 species
ACAAAAUGGUUUUAGUUUUACUGGGAGAAUAAAAGGAUAGAAAGUGAAACCUUGAAAGGUGGAAGUCUGAAUAUCAUGUCUGUGUAGAAAGACUUAUCAAUUAGUUAAUUUAAAUUGGACUAAAGUCUAUGAAUAGAGGCGAAUACAGUGAGCAAACGGGUCAUUCGUCCCACACCCAAAGAUAUUCAGAAUGGGGGUAGGAAUUCUCUAGUCCCAUUCCUUCUCUACUACUUAAGGCUCAUGACGUGAAAUUUGC